AGAUAAGAGGAAGAGGCAAAAAGGUGUGGACUGUUUUCCUCUAUCGGCACAGUUGCAAUUAAUGGCUUUUGGGAUGAAUAACAAGCUGCGCAUUAAUACUGCUCUGGUUGCAUUUAUGCUGCUGCUGCUGCUGCUAUUCAUCGUCGUAUACAUAGCUGAUGAUGGUACAGGAACAGGAGGAGUUAAUGACAAAGUUGCAAGUCUUGUUGAAGAUGAAGCCGCCAAGACCAAAACUACCAAAACCAAAACAAGGCAAGAGAGGGGAGAAGACUUGGACUUGCUGGUCAUGGAUUACACCCCAGCUAGAAAGAAGUCCCCCAUUCAUAACUAAAUAUAUAUUUAAUUAUAUAAUAUUUAUUAUAGUGAGAAUUAAAAAUGUAAAAGUUUUAUUUCUUAAAUAUUUAUAGAAAACUAUGUAUUAUAGCAGGGUUCAAUAAGACCCGGGAAGGAAUAAUGGUGUAUGCAGUCGUAUUUAUUUGCCACGACUAUAUACGUUCCAUUGCAUGGCAGAAUUAAACUUUUCAAUAUAUAUAUAUAUAUAUC